CACGUAGUUAGCCGUGGCUUCCUCCUCAGGUACCGUCAUUAUCGUCCCUGAAGACAGAGCUUUACAACCCGAAGGCCGUCAUCACUCACGCGGCGUUGCUGCAUCAGGGUUUCCCCCAUUGUGCAAUAUUCCCCACUGCCGCCUCCCGUAGGAGUCUGGGCCGUGUCUCAGUCCCAAUGUGGCCGAUCACCCUCUCAGGUCGGCUACGCAUCGUCGCCUUGGUGAGCCGUUACCUCACCAACUAGCUAAUGCGCCGCGGGCCCAUCUCAUAGCGGAUUGCUCCUUUAAUUGCUACUUCAUGCGAAGCUACAAUCUUAUGUGGUAUUAAUCUCCCUUUCGGAAGGCUAUUCCCCUCUAUGAGGCAGGUUGCCCACGUGUUACUCACCCGUCCGCCGCUAGCUUUGUUCCGAAGAACUCCACUCGCUCGACUUGCAUGUGUUAGGCACGCCGCCAGCGUUCGUCCUGAGCCAGGAUCAAACUCU
rnacentral:rRNA from 1 species